rnacentral:tRNA from 1 species
GGGGCUGUAGCUCAGUUGGGAGAGCGCCUGCUUUGCAAGCAGGAUGUCGCAGGUUCGAUCCCUGUCAGCUCCAC